rnacentral:rRNA from 1 species
UGGGGAAUAUUGGACAAUGGGGGCAACCCUGAUCCAGCGACGCCGCGUGUGUGAAGAAGGCCUGCGGGUUGUAAAGCACUUUUAGUGGGGAUGAAAAGCUCAGGGCUAAUACCUCUGGGUCUUGACCUAACCCAAAGAAAAAGCACCGGCUAACUCUGUGCCAGCAGCCGCGGUAAUACAGAGGGUGCGAGCGUUAAUCGGUAUUACUGGGCGUAAAGCGUGCGUAGACGGUUAUGUAAGUCGGGUGUGAAAGCCCCGGGCUCAACCUGGGAAUGCCAUUCGAGACUGCAUAGCUAGGGUGCGGAAGAGGGAAGCGGAAUUUCAGGUGUAGCGGUGAAAUGCGUAGAUAUCUGAAGGAACACCAGUGGCGAAAGCGGCUUCCUGGUCCAGCACCGACGUUCAGGCACGAAAGCGUGGGGAGCAAACAGGAUUAGAUACCCUGGUAGUCCACGCCAUAAACGAUGAGAACUAGACGUUGAGAGGGUAAGCCUCCCAGUGUCGUAGCUAACGCGCUAAGUUCUCCGCCUGGGGAGUACGGCCGCAAGGUUG